UACGGAGGAUGCGAGCGUUAUCCGGAUUUAUUGGGUUUAAAGGGUGCGUAGGCGGACUAAUUAGUCAGCGGUGAAAUUUUGCGGCUCAACUGUAAAAGUGCCUUCGAAACUGGUUUCCUUGAGUGUAGAUGAAGUAGGCGGAAUUUGUGGUGUAGCGGUGAAAUGCUUAGAUAUCACGAGGAACUCCGAUUGCGCAGGCAGCUUACUAAACUACUACUGACGCUCAGGCACGAAAGCGUGGGGAGCAAACAGGAUUAGAUACCCUGGUAGU
rnacentral:rRNA from 1 species